CACGUAGGCACCAAGCGUUGUCCGGAUUUAUUGGGCGUAAAGAGCUCGUAGGCGGUUCGGUAAGUCGGGUGUGAAAUCUUUGGGCUUAACCCAAAGCGUGCACUCGAUACUGCCGUGACUUGAGUUCGGUAGGGGAGCGGAGAAUUCCUAGUGUAGCGGUGAAAUGCGCAGAUAUUAGGAGGAAUACCGGUGGCGAAGGCGCCGCUCUGGGCCGAAACUGACGCUGAGGAGCGAAAGCGUGGGUAGCAAACAGG
rnacentral:rRNA from 1 species